UUGCCUCAGUAACGGCGAGUGAAGCGGCAACAGCUCAAAUUUGAAAUCUGGUCCCUCUGGGGGCUCGAGUUGUAAUUUGCAGAGGAUGCUUCGGGUAAGGCGGUGGUCUAAUUUGCUUGGAACAGCAAGUCGAAGAGGGUGAGAAUCCCGUCUAGGAUCGUCAGCCGCGCCCGUGUGAAGCUCCUUCGACGAGUCGAGUUGUUUG
rnacentral:rRNA from 1 species